AUACAGAGGGUGCAAGCGUUAAUCGGAUUUACUGGGCGUAAAGCGCGCGUAGGUGGCUAAUUAAGUCAAAUGUGAAAUCCCCGAGCUUAACUUGGGAAUUGCAUUCGAUACUGGUUAGCUAGAGUAUGGGAGAGGAUGGUAGAAUUCCAGGUGUAGCGGUGAAAUGCGUAGAGAUCUGGAGGAAUACCGAUGGCGAAGGCAGCCAUCUGGCCUAAUACCGACACUGAGGUGCGAAAGCAUGGGGAGCAAACAGGAUUAGAUACCCUGGUAGUCCAUGCCGUAAACGAUGUCUACUAGCCGUUGGGGCCCUUGAGGCUUUAGUGGCGCAGCUAACGCGAUAAGUAGACCGCCUGGGGAGUACGGUCGCAAGACUAAGACUCAAAUGAAUUGGCGGGG
rnacentral:rRNA from 1 species